rnacentral:rRNA from 1 species
GUGGGGAAUCUUCCACAAUGGACGAAAGUCUGAUGGAGCAACGCCGCGUGAGUGAAGAAGGGUUUCGGCUCGUAAAGCUCUGUUGUCGGGGACGAAUGUGCAGUAUUUGAAUAAAGUAGUGCAAUGACGGUACCUGACGAGGAAGCCACGGCUAACUACGUGCCAGCAGCCGCGGUAAUACGUAGGUGGCAAGCGUUGUCCGGAAUUAUUGGGCGUAAAGGGAGCGCAGGCGGGAAGGUAAGUCGGUCUUAAAAGUGCGGGGCUCAACCCCGUGAUGGGAUCGAAACUAUCUUUCUUGAGUGCAGGAGAGGAAAGUGGAAUUCCUAGUGUAGCGGCGAAAUGCGUAGAUAUUAGGAGGAACACCAGUGGCGAAGGCGACUUUCUGGACUGUAACUGACGCUGAGGCUCGAAAGCCAGGGGAGCGAACGGGAUUAGAUACCCUUGUAGUCC